UAAAAUAACUCAUAUGCUCAAGUUUAUUCUCUUUAGAUCCAAAAGAAAAUAUUUGCAAAUAUCCUAAAAUGGCAUCUUCUGGUGCAGCUGAAGAAAACGAGCCCCAAUUUGAAAACGCCGAUGCUUAUUAUGAUGAUGGACAUACAACAGGCAACCGAGAAUCGAAUGAGUCAAUACGUACAUAUUUAUCUAGUACAGUGUACACUAAGGAAGAUUUGGAAAAUUUAGUUGAGCUUAUCCAACGAAUGACGAUUUUAUAUUCCCUUGAUCACAACGAUUGGACUGAAAACACUCUAAACAUUAUAAGACUUUGGAUACUUAAGCCGAGCAAACCAAUGCUUACCUUGUUUUACGAUUCAAAUAUCAUAACGGCCUGCCUAGGAUUCCCAGUUGCUCCCACUCUUGACAUAAGUUACUUUGUGCGAUCAUCUAAUCAAAUAUUUACCGUUGAUUCAUUUCAUGAUUUUGUAAAUUUUGGGACCAUUCAUAAUGAUGUUGACGGCUGCCUGCUUCGUAUUCUGGAGCUGGCAUAUGCACCUGUAUUUCGGAAUCACUCAGAUUGGGAUGAUAAUAUAAAACAGCGCUUCUGCAAAGCCUUAGACAAAUUUCUUGUCUAUUUAACAGGAAUGCACUUUAAAAUGUCAGGAAUGACGGUAUUAUAUGUUCCUUAUAUUGUGAGGCAAAUUCCACGGCAAAACAUUUCCUAUGAUCCUGAGUUUGUAAAGAACCUUGAGUCAAUCUCUGUUUUUUGGGCAACGCAGAUACGCACUCUUUUGAAUGACAAGACUUUAACGGUCCCCAAUGAUUUCGUCAUAUUAGAGGAUGAAUACGAAUUUUGGCUUUAUCGUUUUGAAGUUCUACAGGCGCUCAACACACAAUUAGAACAAGUUGAUGUACAAAGUAUAAUUAAAAUACUUCGAAAUUCUCAUUCAGUGUAUAUUAAACAAAUUGAUGAACUUGUUUAUGAGUCAAGGUCUGAAAUGGAACGGGCAAUGUCAAACAUCAAAUUUCUACAUCUUCUUAUGGACCCAUGUGCUGAAAUUAAUCUCACUGAAAGUCCUGCAGUAUUAUCUCAGCUAUUGCCAAAAAUCAUUAAUCUUAUCUAUUUUAUUUGGGUAAAUUCAGAACAUUACAAUAGACGAGACUUAAUUACAAGUCUUUUUCGUGACUUGAGCAACCGAAUUAUACGCUUUUGCACAGAAAUGAUAAAUUUGGAUAAAAUACUUUCGGGCAGUUCCCGAUUUGGAAUUAAAGUCUGCAACUUGUCUCUGAACUGUUGUCUUACCUACAAAGGUAUCUAUAGUUUAAUGGCAAAAGAAAAUGCUAAGUUUGAUAAUAGCUUGGCUUGGAACUUAGACAAUGCUAUGAUUUUUAACCACGUAGAUGCUUUUAUGGAGCGCCUAAAUGAUGUCAUCGACAUAUGCGAGUCGAUGAUUGUAUUUGGAAGAUUGGAUGAAGCUGAGAGCAUUCCUAAGCCACAAUUCGGUGGCACUACUGGGCCUGAGUUUGAAAAAACAACUGAGUCAGUUGAGAAUCAAUUCCUGGCAACCUUGACAGCGCUAAAUACAGACUCCAAGGAGUUAAUAUUAAAUGUGCAUAAAAACGAUUGGUAUGAAGAAGUUCUUAAAUAUCGACGAACAGUUCAAAGUAUGGAUGAGACUGUCCAACGACUUAUGUCGAAUGUCUUUUUACAUGUCUGCAACGUUGAAGAAGCAAUCGAAUCUUUAAAUGUAAUGCUUUUUUAUUCAUAUCGUAGCUCCAUAAGAAAAUCGUAUUUGCGACAAGUAACAGAGGUUUGGUUAUUGUUUUGUAAUGAAAUGGACUCAACCUCACAUAUUUUAAUGGAUCGCAGCAAAUUGCAUGAGACGUGGGUACCAUAUUAUGCCUCCAGAGCUAUUGGUUAUCGUAUUAAUAUAGAAAGACUUACGUGGCUUCGAAAUCGUUUAAAUUCGUCUGAAUGGUUACCAAAUGUUUCUGAGGCUUUGAUUGUGCUAAAUAAAUUUGAAAAUUUGAGAAAGGAGUUUGAUAAGGAGAUGCGUAAAUCAUAUGACGAAUGGCAAAAAAAUUGUUGUAGCACACUUUUAAAUCAAAAGCUGGACCGAUUUUUACUUGCUCGUAGUAAAAAAAAAAAGGGACUUCUCGAGUGCAACAUAGACCCAAGCGUAUUAAGUAUUUGCGAACAAGCCCAACAUUUUUCACGUCUUGGGUUUUCGGUACUUGGACCGGUGCGCAAAAUUUUUGAAAAACAAGAUACCCUCCGAUUUGUUUACAACAGUGUUUUGCAAGUAUGUCUUAACUACAAUCAUAUACUAUCCGCAUUAUCCGAACAGGAAAGAAAGUUUUUUCGGUCUCUAAUACAAGCGUGCGAUCGAAAGAUUGCUCCAGGAGUCUUUAAAUUAAGCUAUGGAGGUGACCUAAGCGAUGCGUAUAUCGCAGAUUGUGCUAAACAUACAAAUAAACUACAGGAAACAAUGGAUAUGUAUAAGCGUGCUAAUAGGAAUAUUGCGCGGACUUGCGAAAAGAUUUGCAAUACACCAAUGUUAAAAUUUACAUUUACAGGUGCAGUUGCUAUAUCACUUUUUGAAAGCCAUCUUUCUAAUUACAUUAGACGUGUAAGUAAUGUACUUCGAGGAUACUAUAACACAAUAACGGAUCUUUUAUUUGCUGUUUUUAUGAAGUUCCAACCAGUUAUC